ACUCCUACGGGAGGCAGCAGUGGGGAAUAUUGGACAAUGGGCGAAAGCCUGAUCCAGCAAGCCGCGUUGAGGGAUGACGGCCUUCGGGUUGUAAACCUCUUUCAGCAGGGACGAAGCGAAAGUGACGGUACCUGCAAAAAAGCACCGGCCAACUACGUGCCAGCAGCCGCGGUAAU
rnacentral:rRNA from 1 species